GCUGUUGUUAAAGUCCAAUUUCAGAAGGAAAAACUUCCCUUGUUUGACAGUCUUUUAGAUGAUAUCAAAGAUGGCAAUAACCGUCAUCCCAGAUGGUGUUUUGGAUUCAGAUGGAGCUGAUAGAGAUGGCGACCUGAUCUGGGUCCCUCUCUCUCUGACCCAUUCUAGCCAGGACAUGUCUGAGGAAGGACAGGGUCCCAGAAAUGGUGGGGUGGCAUCUAUGAUGGUGAGGCUCGCUUUUGAGGUCCCAAAAAAGGAGCGAUGGGUAGAAUAGCCCAGAACCUUAUUAUUUUGUCCAUGAAUUAGGCUUAAUAUCCAGCAUACCAAUUUUAACUCAUUAAUUUCCAGCUCUACAUCUCCUAUUUUUAACAAGCCUAAUUUCAACACAGUUCUUGAAUUAUAUCAGUAGACCUUUUUGUUUAAAAACUCAUUCAGUUAUUCUGUCUACCUUUCGUACCUUUUCCCAUCAGCAUUUGUUGUUAUAUGUUACUGUAACAUCUUAUGAACUUUUACAUACUUUUUACAGUUGAGUUCAUAAUUCGGGUCAAUUUGUAGGCCCAAUACUCACAACAGAACUCACAGUCAACAGGUAUCAGUGAGGCAGGGCCUUAGUAUGAUUUAAUAUGUGAUUAGAUGUUUAUAUAAAUGAAAGUACAUCCACAGAUGCACAGGAUUGUAUGAACGUUUAUACAAGAUAUAAACACUCAUGGUUCAGGGCCUAAAACAGUUGCUAAGUGCUGAAAACUAGGAAGUCAAUGGGAACUGGUGAUGUUAAGCACUUGGCAGGAUUGGGCCGUUAAUGAAUGAACUCUGGUAAUGCAAUUGAGGGAUAAUUAUAUAGGGAAUACAGCCUGUAAUCCUUUCCCCCCAUCUGUUCACAAAAGGAAUGAUUAUCUCAGUGCUGAUCAACAAGAAGCUUUAUUGUUCCCUGAAGCAAUAUUACAGAAUAACUUGGAAAUUUGAUAUAAUUCAGCAUUAGAAUAAAACCAGUGCUCUUUCCUACUCUAUGCAAUUUAUUUCUGAGAGGAAAGUAAUUCCAUGAAUGGCAGAAUAAAUAAUAGAAAUGAUCACAAUGCCCAAUUUAGUCCUGUUAUCAUUCUAAUGUCUAAAUAACUACUGCUGCAAGAACACUUUUCACAGUAACUCGUGAACAACAAAAUUCUACUGUCUGAAUGUGUAAUGUCCUGAUCAACAUGGGCAGACCUCAGAGCCCCACUGACUUCAUUUGGACUCUACAUAGGCAGAAGGCCCACAUGCAUGCAGAUCAGAUAUCAAGAUUGGGGACCAAAACCAGUUUAUUUCAUCACUAUUCUCUGUUCUACUCUCUAUCUAGGCUGGAGGAAGAAAAUAUUUGUCAGAGUAUCUGGAACACAGAUAACGUGGAGGAAUAUAGAGAUAGCCUUGAUUGGAACUGAUGGGCUCAAAAGGAAAUACACAAUUGCCAAUUUUAUUUUCUGUGUGUGAAAUUUACCCAUGACAUGGAGAGCUGGCACAAGGGCCUCUACACGGUGCCUAUAGUCACACAGGGUUGCUCUGCUAACUUAAAAUCCUGACUACUGGCUUGUCUGGAAUACGUCAAACAAGAUUUAUUGGCAAGAUCUUAAUGAGAUCUAGUCUGCAAGGCCAAAGCAGAGAGGCAGAAAAAGCAUAUUUAGAAAUCUCUAAAUCCAGCCAUUUCUUAUGAGGUUUGCCAGAGGAACGGAAAAAGCUUAGGAAGCCUGCAGCAGUGUUGACAAGUUCAUCAGACUUCCUGCUCAGAUACAGUAACUCAGUGCGCCCACUAAGCACACACAGAAACAGAGAAAGGUCCCCAAGACCUGCAUAACCAAGGAACCUACUCCGGUCCAACUUAGGAAGUCUAUUUGGGCAGGACCCCAUUCCUGUGAAUCUUUGGAAAUUCCUAAUAUGAGGAGUCCUCUCCUGUAGAUCUUUUGAGACACACUGGAGUGGGAGGAGUUCUGAGGCAUUGGGAAUAAUUCCUGUUGUUGUAUACUAUUUGUACUACAGCAGCACCUAGAAGACCCAACUGAAAUUGGAGGACUGUUUGUACUAGGCACAAACAUAUUCAUAGAUAAUGGUGUAAUAAUUACUUGGGUGGAAGUACUGAUCUUCCCUGCUAACUUAUCACAGGUACUUUUAAUAAAGCAUUGACAGUUACCAGCUAUUGCUGUAUCACAGUCUUCUCUUUCAACCUCCCUCUUUUGAGAUUUUAAAAUUGUAACUUGGUUUCAGAUUUGUGUGGUGCUGUCAUUUAAAUUUUUGGAACUAGUCUGAGGCUAUAAAGGCCUGAUCUAAUCACAGGAAGAUUUGCCUUGGGAAAAGAUUAUCAGUCAAGAUGUUCAUACCUUGUAAAUGGCAAAAUAAAUUUUCAGUGUCUGGAAGAGCCUGGGCAGCUAACUGGGAUCCUUCUGUGCCAUCUCCAACCUGAGCUACAGAGGGUGGAUGUGCCUACAGAAGAGGCUACUCUCGGAUUCCUUUUAAGGAGUGGGCCGGUGUGUUUCCAAGUAGUCAUUUUCUAGAGGCAAACUGGAUGUUCACACAGAUGAUUGGAAUUUGGCUUGCUGCACUUUAUCUGCUGGACCCAACAGCAGGCGAAAAAGUUUGCUACCGACGACUUGGCUGCUUCUCAGAUAAACCGCCAUGGGCUGGAAUACCAGGGAGAUUUCUGGCAGGUUUACCCGACCCUCCAGAGAGUAUGAACAUCAGCUUCACCCUUUACACUAAAGAAACUAGAAAUAACUCUCAAGUGAUCUCUGCAAUACAUUCCUCAACUAUCAAAGACUCAUAUUUCUGCUCACAUAGGAAAACACGCUUCAUUGUUCAUGGAUUCAUGAGCACCGGAAAACGUGGCUGGGUGGUAGAGAUG